UCUGGUGUUGCUGAAAUCCCUCAACAGUUGUUGGUCUGGGAAAGUCUCUAUUUUGCCUUCAUGUUGGAAGGAUAUUUUUGCUGGAUAUACUAUUCUAGGAUACAAGUUUUUCUCCUUCAGCACUUAAAUAUGUCAUGUCACUCUUUCCUGGCCUGUAAGCUUUCCUCUGAAAAGUCUGCCAGACAUAUCUGAG